ACGGAAAAAAUUCUGAUUUUUUUUGUUUCGUUUUUUAACCUCCCCUUCCUUUUCCCAGGCGGUGGUAUCGUCCGAACGUCGGGUUAAAACCUCGGGCAACACAACAUUCCCUAUCAGAACGUUGGCGGUCCGAACGUUCUGCCUUCCCCCCCCUAUCCUGUACACCUUCUCGGAGGCGGCGCGCGCAGCCAUGGCGGUGAAGAUCAAGGUGGUUUACUGUGGAGCCUGAGGCUACAAACCCAAGUUUCAACAGCUCAGAAAGGAACUCGAAAAAGAGUUUCCGGGCAAGCUGGAAAUUAGCGGAGAAGGGACUCCACAGGUCACGGGAUGGUUUGAAGUGAUGGUAGCCGGCAAGGUGGUGCACUCCAAAAAGAACGGAGAUGGCUUUGUGGACGACGAUGCCAAACUCAACAAGAUAAUUAAGGCCAUCAAAGUAGCUUUGGCAUGAGGACGACUUUAAGCAUGGGCUAGCAGCUCAGAAUGCAACAGAGCUCAAGAAAAAUCUGUUUUGCUCAUCUUGGCAAAUCGCUUGAUGACGGGAGCUGCUGAAAUGUUGUCUUGACACCUGGCAGUUCCCCGAAAACUUUGCGCUGGAUGCCAACUUGAUCAAGGCCAGAUGGAAGGACUUGUGCUCUAAUUCAGUGUUUGGGUGUAAAUUUAAAAUUAAGCCUGCAACUCCUAACACAUCUAUCUUCUGUUUUCAUUGUGUGCUGCAUGCAAUUAAGGCUUUGUUUGUUUGUUUUUAAUACCUGCAUUUGUGGCAAUUGUGAGAAAGGAUUUACUAAAAAAUAGGAAGAGUGGAAGAUUCAUCAAAUGUUUGCUUUCAUCAUACACAAACGCUUCCAAUCUAUGAUGGAACCAGAUACAAAAAAAAAACCCUUUUGUAUUGAACUAUAAUUUUAGAAUCCUAGAACAUCUUAAAUUGAAAAUGUGUGUUCUUUCUUUCUUUCCCAGCGCUCCUAACUUCCCUGUUGCAGGAUUGUGUGCUUUAUACCCACUUCUGAUUUAUUUGCUCAAACAUUAUCAAACGCACUAAACAUUUAAUAAAAUGUUACUUCCAAGAGGC